rnacentral:rRNA from 1 species
GACGAACGCUGGCGGCGUGCUUAACACAUGCAAGUCGAACGGAAAGGCCCCUUUGGGGGUACUCGAGUGGCGAACGGGUGCGUAACACGUGAGUAACCUGCCCUUGACUUCGGGAUAACUUCAGGAAACUGGGGCUAAUACCGGAUAGGAAUCCUUGCUGCAUGGUGGGGGUUGGAAAGCUUCGGCGGUUUUGGAUGGACUCGCGGCUUAUCAGCUUGUUGGUGGGGUAGUGGCUUACCAAGGCUUUGACGGGUAGCCGGCCUGAGAGGGCGACCGGCCACAUUGGGACUGAGAUACGGCCCAGACUCCUACGGGAGGCAGCAGUGGGGAAUAUUGCACAAUGGGCGGAAGCCGGAUGCAGCAACGCCGCGGGCGGGAUGACGGCCUUCGGGUUGUAAACCGCUUUCAGCAGGGGCGAAGCUUGUGGUGACGGUACCUGCAGAAGAAGCACCGGCUAACUACGUG